CUACGGGUCGCUGCAGUGAGGAAUAUUGCACAAUGGAGGAAACUCUGAUGCAGCAACGCCGCGUGGAGGAUGACGCAUUUCGGUGUGUAAACUCCUUUUAUAUGUCAAGAAAAUGACGGUAGCAUAUGAAUAAGCACCGGCUAACUCCGUGCCAGCAGCCGCGGUCAUACGGAGGGUGCAAGCGUUACUCGGAAUCACUGGGCGUAAAGGACGCGUAGGCGGGAUAUCAAGUCAGGUGUGAAAUCCUACAGCUUAACUUUAGAACUGCACUUGAAACUGGUAACCUAGAGUAUGGGAGGGGGAGAUGGAAUUAGUGGUGUAGGGGUAAAAUCCGUAGAUAUCACUAGGAAUACCUAAAGCGAAGGCGAUCUCCUGGAACAUAACUGACGCUAAGGCGUGAAAGCGUGGGGAGCAAACAGGAUUAGAUACCCCCGUAGUC
rnacentral:rRNA from 1 species